GGGGCUGGUGGGGCGGUGCUCCAUCCAUCCCGGGCCUGCGCAGCCAGAGCACUCCGGGCAGGCUGGGGUGGGCCGAACCCCGGAGAGAGAAAUCCCGAGCACGGGAAGAGGAGGCCUGGGUAUCUGAGGCUCGGGGGAUCCGAGGCACACGGCCCGGGUGUCGGGUAGUCAGAGUUCUCCGCUACUUCUGGCGGGGAACCGUCCCGCCGCUGAGGCAUGACAAAGCCUCAGGAGGUGCUGGAUGGGGAUGGGGGAAGGGCAAGCGUCCGCAGCCCCCAGCACUGCCGCGGGACCGCAAGGAGGUCUGGCGCUGGUGCUGCCUUUGGGAUGCGCUGACACGCCUAGACAGGACAGGUUUCUGGUCACCCCCUUCCUCCAAUACAGUGAAUCCAAGUCCAGGCACAGGGGAGAAGCCCAGAGGCGUCCUGGCAGGGACUUCCUUUGAUUAGGGAGUUGAGCAAGGGGCUCUGACUUUGUGUUGAGGUGUGCACCCUGCUCAGAGGCUCUCAAGGUUGAAAGAGGAGUAGCUUAGGUGAACACAGGAAAGAUACAACCCACCUUCCGGGACACUGGAGCCACUCUCCCAGGGCUUUGUUGCAGGUCUGUCUGGUGGCCUAGGGAUUGGCAGAGAUUUACAAAGGUGUCAUUCAGUCCUCCUUAAAAGGAGGAUUACAGAAGAUUGUGUGUGGAGACCAGGAGUUGGGGCACCCAGGGCUGGCCUUGUGGGUGUAUUCAUUUUCAUUCAUCCCUUGCUUUUUGUUGUUGUUGUUGUUGUUGUUUUGAGACUGUUUCUCUUUGUGGCUCAGGUCCUCCUCAAACUUUGGCUGCAGAAGUAUGUGUGCCACCAAGCCCAACUUUAUUUUUCCUCUCCCUCUUUCUUUGUUGGAGAUAACAGAAUACAGGGCCUGGGGCUUGCUAAACACAGGCUCUACCAUCAAACAAGCAUCCGUGCAAAGUUUCCCUUGAGUGCCUGCUGGGGAUGGGCCCUGGGAUCCCAGCCUAGGCUCAACACCUGUCAAGUGUCUGAUGCAAUGGGGGCUUUUCCAUUUAGCAAGACACAGGGGAAUAACCGUGUCUGGUGAACUUGGAUCCUGAGAAGAGCCUCUGAGGGUAGGCAUCUGAGGCUGAGCCACAAAGGGGUGGCCAAUGGCCAGUACACGAUAGGCUGAGCAGGCCUCACAUGGAGGCAUUUGCCCGGAGAAACCUGCAGACUGAGCGUUGAUGUACAUGAGUUGGGUGAAGACUGAUAAAGACAGGAAGAACCUCAAGACAUGGGUGUAUCAGGGUCACGGUUGAAGGGAACCACUGGAAAAUAAAAUCUUAGGACUCCUGUGGCCUGGCAGGCUGAAGCAGCCACUGGUCUUUAUUGUGGCUGUAAAGAGAACCCCUGGAAUGUGGUGUCCAGCUUCAUUUAAGACCCAGUGAGCUCUUCAGGGAGGCUAGAGAGAGGAGUGACCAAGCCAAGCAGAAGAGAGGCAGUUGACCCUGUCUAGGUGGAGACAGUGGAGGUAGUAGGCAAGGCUGGGUGUAGUGGGAUUGAUUGUCAUUUUAAGAAAGCUCUCCACCUCCAUUUGAAUAAAAAACAACAACAAAAAACAAAAAAAAAAAAAACAACAAAAAAAACAAGUUGGCAAACUGUGGUUUGGGAGGGGAAGGGAGGACCAAGAUGACUCCCUCCACCAACACCCCCACACUCCCGCCAUGUUUUCAGCCCCCAAAGAAUUAGGCCUACUUUAGACUAAGGUGAGAUUGAAGUCUGUGGAGUCAGGAGAGCAGGCUAGGAGCAGUUGAUGGCGCAUUUAUUUAAUUCAGCGGGAGCAGCAUGGAUUUUCCUAUUACAACUCAUUGAGAGUGGGAGUAGUGGAAGUCAGGACUCCCCCAGUGGACAAUCGGAGUUUGGGUUGUCACCCAUGCAUUCACUCAUUCAACCCAGAAUGGCUUUCUGGUGUCCUGUGGGUAGUCGAGGCUGUAAGCACCCUGACAUUGUGCUGUGAGGCUCUGAAGACUGAGUGAAGAUAGGUAGGGCUAAGAUGGCCUCAGACUUGUGACCAACCUGGUUUCUGGCCUUGGGAUCAAAGCAGUAUUGUCUUCAGAGUGGCUUCCUGUGGCUCAGUGCCUGGGACUUGAUUACCCUGAGGUCUCCCUAUGUGUUCCUGGCACCACCUCUCAGGGCCACGUCUCUCUUGUUCUUUGACUUUACCACUGUUCUGCCUAGGCCUGAGUUGAUUGAAUUCCAGGUAAGCCUCCAGGGCCUGGAGUCUAGGCUUAGGAUAAGAAUGCUGUUUGCAUGGGGUGUUCAGGAUGUGUGUACACUGCAGGCCUCUGCUUUGUUCUACACACCAGACGGGUACCCUACUGACCCAGCUAGGACUUGGGGCCAAGCAAACCCAGUUCUACAAGACAGCACUGUCUCUUUUGGGCAGGGAGGCCACGAAGACGUGGAUAAGACCUGCCCCGCCUGCUUCAUAGGAUGUGGUGUGGGACAUCAUUCAUUGCUGGUUGUCAGUGUUGGCACAGUUGAUGAGCUGCCAUUAUGGUCUCCGGUGCCCACAUUCUAGGUCUGGUUUGCUGGCAGUGUCUGCUUUUAGCCUGCGUGUUUUUGCUGGCAGGUGGCUUCCACAGCUGGCCGGCUCUUCGAGUAUUGCAUCACCCCUGUGAAGUGUGCAGCCACUUUUGCACAGUCUCAUCCACAGCCACUUGGGUAGCAGCCCAACAGACCCGUCCUCUCUAGGAUUGGCUGUGAGGGACCAGUUGGUAGGCUGGCUCAGGAAAGUUCCCCUUCCCUGGUGCUCUCCACCUCCAUGUGACUUAAAAAACAGUUGUAAGAUUUGUGGCUUAGGAGGGGGAGGGGGAACCAAGUUGGCUUUCCCAAUCCCCACCUACUACCCCCCUCCCUCGCCAUGUUUUCAACCCCCAAAUUAUUAGACCUACUUUAGAAUAAGCUGCCUGUGAAGUCAGGAAGGCAGACUAGGAACGAGCAGUUCAUGCCACAUUGAAUUCAGUUGGCCAGUGGCACUUCCAACCUGCCACUCCCCAGGUGUGUCUGGACACACCUGAAUUGCCUGGCUUGGGAACCCUGGGCAGAAGAUUGUGCAAAAACAGAUUGUAGAACACGUGAGAGGCUGUCAGUCCUGGAACUCCAGGACAGCCCUCAGGGACACUGGGCAACCACCUGGGUAUUUCAUCUUCUCCUUCAUUUUUUCCUGCUGUAGACAUAGGAACUGGAAUAUAUGAGUUGCUUGUUCCCUAGGUGCCUGGUGCACAGCAGGAGCAGGCUCUAAACCUGGGCACACGCUCUCUGCCAAGUGCCCGGCAACAGAGAUAAGGACUCAGUCUUGGGAGUCAGAGCUUGGUGCAGGAGGAAGCUGAUGAGCCAGCCAGUGUACUCUAGGCCACUGCCUGAGAGGAAGUGGGUCAGACUAAAAAACAGGAAAUGGGGGGGGCUUCUCUAAGUGGGUCAGUAGUUGAACUUGAGACAGUCUGGAAUGAUGUCUGGGCUUCUCCCUCUGGCUGCAGUAAGGCACACCAUCCAUUCUGCAUUUGUUCUUUCAGAGAGUAUGGGCUGUGUGUCUGAGUGCGCUCAGGGCUCAAGGAUGGCACUGGGGCUGCUGCCUAGGCCCCACCUUUGUGGUAGAACCUCCUUUGUCUUCUACCAGCCCCAACUUGGAUGCCCCAAAGCUGGCAGUGAGCUCAUGGCAAGUCACUUCUAUCUUUGCCUACAUCCUCAUUUCUCCCUGCCAUGGCCAAGAAAAAGUGACCUUACAUAAAUCAUGGGGUUGAGGGUAUAGCUGAGCUGUAGAGUUGCUUGCAGACACCAGGCCAUAGGAUGGGUCACCCUUGGAAAAAAAAAAAAAAAAAAAAAGCUGAUUUAAUAAAAUCCUGAAAGCAGAAGCUGGAGAGAUGACCCAGUGGGGGGUAAGAGCAUGUUUUGCUCUUGCAGAGGACCUGCAUUUGACUCUGAGCACCCACAUCAGGCAGCUUACAACCACCUAAAGCUAUAGCACUAACAGGAUCCAAUGCUUCUAGCUCCAGUGGGUACCUGUACUCACCUGCACAUAGUCUCACACACAUAGACAUCAUUUUAAACUAAAAGUAAAAUUUUUUAAAAAAUCUAGAAAGCAGACAAAAUUACUUUAGGAUCAUAUAUCCAAAGCCCUUAAUGCUUGCUGUUUCUGUGUAUGCAAAUAUGCACUGAAGGAAAAACAAAAAACAAAACAAAACAACAACAACAAAAAACUAGGGAAAUAACCAUAGGCUAUUUUCCAUGUUUUAGCUUGCUGCUGGGAAACAUGGCUUGUCAAAGAGCAGCUUCACAGAGAUCUGAGUCUCCUGCAAUAAAAUCCUCCUAUUUUAAGGGCACAGUUCGAUGUAUUUUGAUAACUCUGCACCUGUGUAAGCAUUGCCAAGAUAGGGCACAGGAGCCACAGCCCAGAACUUUCCCCCUGCAGUUGUGGGGAAGCCCUGCCCAGCUGUCAGGGACGGGCACCACUCUGCAGGUAGUUCACAGAAACACAGCACACAGCCAAAACUCCCGGCAGCCCCAUCUCCACUGCUUUUAAACAUCAUGUAUCUGUGAUCAAUUCUUUUGGGCUUAAAUAGUAUUCGUGUGGUGUGUGUGUGUGUGUGUGUGUGUGUGUGUGUGUGCGCACAGCAAAUAUGAUAGCAAAGCUUAAAAAGUUAAAAACUUCUAAGCAUCUAUGAAAAUUAAAGCCAGGUCUCAUGGCACAUAUCUGUAAUCCCAGAAUUUGGGAGGUAUGGGGUAUCACCACCAGGGCCAGCUUGGACUAUACAGCGAGUUCCUGACAAAACAAAACAAAAUUGGUAGGAAAGCAGAACCAAGCAUGGAAACACACACCUAUGAUUUGAGAGCUACAGGCAGGAGGACAUGAGUUCUAUCCUGGGUUACAUGGUAAGACCUUGUCUCCAAAACAUUGAAAGACAUAGACGUCUCAUCAGAGCAAUGGCAGGGAAUGGAAGAACAGAUGAUAGACAGCUAGGUGAUCAGUAGAUAAAUUAUUGAUAGAUAAGUGGUAGAUAAUUGAUAGAUAUCAAUAAAAAGAUGAUUGAUAGAUAACCAACUAAUUAUUGAUAAACAGGAAGUGAUAGAUUAUUGUUAAGUAGGUAAAUGAUAAACAAAUAGAAGAUAGAUGACUGACACAUAGUUGCCAUUCACAGAAACAGAUCCUGGGGUGGAGGCUAAGCACCUCAGUGGAUGCCACAGAGAUGCUGUCCUCAGCCUUAGGAACCCACGGGAGUGGGGGUGAGGCACAAUGGAAGGAACACAGCAGAAAGUGCUCUGCUGUUUUUGGAAAGCUUCUAAUUUUUUUUCUUUCUUGGUGCUGAAGGUGAAACCUAGGGCCUCACAGGUGCUGAGUAUCUGCUUUGCUAAUGAACUACACCUCACUCCAUACCCUAAAUUCCAUUUUUGAUCAUGCAUACUAAGGAAAUGAAACAUCAGUUUUUAGGUCACUUCUUUUUUUAAUUAAUUUAAUUUUAAUGUGCAUUUAGUGUUUGGCAUACAUACAUAUCUGUGUGAGGGAGUUGGAUCCACUGGAAUUUGAGUUACAGAUCAGAUGGUUGUGAGCUGCCAUGUAAGUGCUGGAAACUGAACCAGGGACCUCUGGAAAAACAGAGCUGAGCCAUCUUUCCAGUAGGGCCCUUCUUACUUUUGAAGAUACAAUGUGUUUGCCGAGACCUUGCCAAUGUUUUUUUUACUUUACAUUCCCCUGCCUGUCCACAUUCUUGUUGGUCCUCCCCUUUCUCUCUGAUAACUUAUCAACACAGAUCCCUUUGUUCUAAUGCUUCUCAUUGGCAGCUGUCCCCUGUCCAGAUCUGUCCCUGAGGUGUUAACUUGAGGCCCGCAUAUUGGUCCUUUUCUCCCAUUUUCAGUCCAUGUGUGGCUUCGAAGGACACGACAGGCCACACUCUUAAGUGGCUGGGCCUGACACUGUUUCUCCGUGGACCCCCAUACAUGUUGAUCAUGGAGCCAACUCCAGUACUGCUGGUACAGGCCCUAUGGCGUGGAAGCACCUGGUGUGUGUUUUGACAGCUUGACCACCCAUCUGGGGACUUGAGGAAGGAUGUCAGAGCUCUGACACUCUUGCUGGCUUAACCUUUUACAGGGACUCCAGGCAUUGUGUGGCCUCCAUGGCCUCUGCUUUCUCUUAAGAGUUGGUUCUCACUGCCGAACUGGAGACAGUCAACAUGUCACACAUCACGGGGGACCAUGAGCUGGCCACUGCUAACAAGGGUUUCUCUGCGUAGCUUUGGCUGCCCUGAGACUCACUCUGUAGACCAGGCUGGCCUUGAACUCAGAUCCAGCUGCCUCUGCCUCCCAAGUGCUGGGAUGGAAGGCAUGUGUCACCACUGACCGGCUAGAAUGGAUUGUUUCCUUGUCAGAAGACCAAGGCAUGAGCCGCAACGUAGAGCGGUGCAUUCCCUGUCUGGAAGUGAGUAAGGGCCCAGCUGGUGUCACAGGCAGUGGAGGAACCCAGCAAGAGAGAGGCAGAACAGCUCUGUGAUGGGGGCCGACAGUUCUAACAUCUCUGAAUAUGUGAAAACUGUUCAAAAUAGAGUUGUAUGGUGCACCAGAGCCAGCGAAAGGACCCGCCACGAUGUGUUGUCUAGAAGGGCACCCUCAUCGCCAAAAGCCUACAUCUUUCCCAAGCAGAGACCAAAUCUUCCACCAUUUGCUCUCCUUUCCAACUGGAGUUUCUGUUUCAGUGUUUCUGAAAACAAAGUCCCUGUGCGUGUGUACAUGGAGGUACAGGUGUGUGUGUGUGUGUGUGUGUGUGUGUGCAAUAAAUAUGUGUGUGUGCGUAUGUUCCUGUGAGCCUGUGAAGGUGCAUGUGCAUGCAAAAGCCAGAGGGUGACACCAAGCAUCUUCCUCAUUCACUCUCCACCUUUUUUUUUCCAUUAAAGGUUUUUAUAUUUA